CCUACGGGAGGCAGCAGUGGGGAAUAUUGGACAAUGGGGGGAACCCUGAUCCAGCCAUGCCGCAUGUGUGAAGAAGGCCCUCGGGUUGUAAAGCACUUUCAGUGAGGAAGAACGCCUGGUGGUUAAUACCCAUCAGGAAAGACAUCACUCACAGAAGAAGCACCGGCUAACUCCGUGCCAGCAGCCGCGGUAAUACGGAGGGUGCGAGCGUUAAUCGGAAUUACUGGGCGUAAAGCGCGCGUAGGUGGCUUGAUAAGCCGGUUGUGAAAGCCCCGGGCUCAACCUGGGAACGGCAUCCGGAACUGUCAAGCUAGAGUGCAGGAGAGGAAGGUAGAAUUCCCGGUGUAGCGGUGAAAUGCGUAGAGAUCGGGAGGAAUACCAGUGGCGAAGGCGGCCUUCUGGACUGACACUGACACUGAGGUGCGAAAGCGUAGGUAGCAAACAGGAUUAGAUACCCUUGUAGUC
rnacentral:rRNA from 1 species